UGCCUAAUACAUGCAAGUCGAACGAGUUCUCGUUGAUGAUCGGUGCUUGCACCGAGAUUCAACAUGGAACGAGUGGCGGACGGGUGAGUAACACGUGGGUAACCUGCCCUUAAGUGGGGGAUAACAUUUGGAAACAGAUGCUAAUACCGCAUAGAUCCAAGAACCGCAUGGUUCUUGGCUGAAAGAUGGCGUAAGCUAUCGCUUUUGGAUGGACCCGCGGCGUAUUAGCUAGUUGGUGAGGUAAUGGCUCACCAAGGCGAUGAUACGUAGCCGAACUGAGAGGUUGAUCGGCCACAUUGGGACUGAGACACGGCCCAAACUCCUACGGGAGGCAGCAGUAGGGAAUCUUCCACAAUGGACGCAAGUCUGAUGGAGCAACGCCGCGUGAGUGAAGAAGGCUUUCGGGUCGUAAAACUCUGUUGUUGGAGAAGAAUGGUCGGCAGAGUAACUGUUGUCGGCGUGACGGUAUCCAACCAGAAAGCCACGGCUAACUACGUGCCAGCAGCCGCGGUAAUACGUAGGUGGCAAGCGUUAUCCGGAUUUAUUGGGCGUAAAGCGAGCGCAGGCGGUUUUUUAAGUCUGAUGUGAAAGCCCUCGGCUUAACCGAGGAAGCGCAUCGGAAACUGGGAAACUUGAGUGCAGAAGAGGACAGUGGAACUCCAUGUGUAGCGGUGAAAUGCGUAGAUAUAUGGAAGAACACCAGUGGCGAAGGCGGCUGUCUGGUCUGUAACUGACGCUGAGGCUCGAAAGCAUGGGUAGCGAACAGGAUUAGAUACCCUGGUAGUCCAUGCCGUAAACGAUGAAUGCUAGGUGUUGGAGGGUUUCCGCCCUUCAGUGCCGCAGCUAACGCAUUAAGCAUUCCGCCUGGGGAGUACGACCGCAAGGUUGAAACUCAAAGGAAUUGACGGGGGCCCGCACAAGCGGUGGAGCAUGUGGUUUAAUUCGAAGCAACGCGAAGAACCUUACCAGGUCUUGACAUCUUUUGAUCACCUGAGAGAUCAGGUUUCCCCUUCGGGGGCAAAAUGACAGGUGGUGCAUGGUUGUCGUCAGCUCGUGUCGUGAGAUGUUGGGUUAAGUCCCGCAACGAGCGCAACCCUUAUGACUAGUUGCCAGCAUUUAGUUGGGCACUCUAGUAAGACUGCCGGUGACAAACCGGAGGAAGGUGGGGAUGACGUCAAAUCAUCAUGCCCCUUAUGACCUGGGCUACACACGUGCUACAAUGGAUGGUACAACGAGUUGCGAGACCGCGAGGUCAAGCUAAUCUCUUAAAGCCAUUCUCAGUUCGGACUGUAGGCUGCAACUCGCCUACACGAAGUCGGAAUCGCUAGUAAUCGCGGAUCAGCACGCCGCGGUGAAUACGUUCCCGGGGCCUUGUACACACCGCCCGUCACACCAUGAGAGUUUGUAACACCCGAAGCCGGUGGCGUAACCCUUUUAGGGAGCGAGCCGUCUAAGGUGGGACAAAUGAUUAGG
rnacentral:rRNA from 2 species